CCUACGUGUGGCUGCAGUGGGGAAUAUUGGGCAAUGGGCGCAAGCCUGACCCAGCAACGCCGCGUGAAGGAAGACGGCUUUCGGAUUGUAAAAUUCUUUUAGGAGGGCAGAGCAGAAGACGGUACCUCUUGAAUAAGCCACGGCUAACUACGUGCCAGCAGCCGCGGUAAUACGUAGGUGGCAAGCGUUGUCCGGAUUUACUGGGUGUAAAGGGCGUGCAGCCGGGAAGACAAGUCAGGUGUGAAAUCCCGGGGCUCAACCGCGGAACUGCAUUUGAUACUGUUUUGCUUGAGUACCGGAGAGGUCAUCGGAAUGUCUGGUGUAGCGGUGAAAUGCGUAGAUAUAAGGCACAACACCAGUGGCGAAGGCGGAUGACUGGACGGCAACUGACGGUGAGGCGCGAAAGCGUGGGGAGCAAACAGGAUUAGAUACCCGAGUAGUC
rnacentral:rRNA from 1 species